rnacentral:lncRNA from 1 species
AUGGAGGCUUGCCCUGCUCCAUGUAAGAUUUCUUCCUUUCUGCCCAUUCCCCCCUCCCCGACCCCCAACCCACAGCAAAUCCACUUAGCAAGUGACUUUCAAUAUCAGUCGAAUUGCUGGGAGGGAAUUUUUCCUUUAAUGGAAAAAAAAAUCCUCUUCACACAGGUGCAAUGGCCUGCCUCAAUGAAGAAAGGCUACCUGGAUGCCCACAACAGAACCCAGUUUUGUACAAUAACCCCCUGCUGCAAUGUGAGGCUCCAGAUCCUAUCAGCUUUCCUUGAAGGAGGUGUUACAGGGUGUUCAUUUUCCUGCUGUUUGCUUUCAGCACCCUCAGGCUCAAGACUCACACUUGAAACAAAACACCAACCAUUUUUGACUCCUUCUCUGGGGAUCUUGAGUGAUGAAGAAAUCAUCAAAAACCAUUUCAACAGUUUGACCCUCCCCUGUCUGCAUCCCAGGAAUCCGACUGCUGGACUUGGCCAAGGAUAAAUGGAACUUGAGUUUCAAAACCUUCUCACCCAAUAAAAUUUCAAAUCUGUAGCCUUUGAAGCCUGUGAAGAAGUGAAAUGUAGCAAACUGAAUUGCACAUUUACCAAUAAGUGUUUAGAGAAUUGUCUUGACUUUUGGGGCAAGAAACUGUUCACAGAUAUGAUUUUUAAGUACCCUCCGUUUUAUCCUCUUCAGUAACCGGGGCUGCCCAAAGUUUGAAGCUCCCUUAUCUGCCCAGACAUUCUUUGAUCCACCCACCUUAUACAGAACAGGAAAAAGUGUUUGUUUUGGUUUUGUUUUUAAGUGUUGUCACACCCUAAAUGGAAAAUUUUUAGAUUGUAUAUUAGACUAGACAAAUUAAAAACAUCUAAAAAUAACACCUCAAAAUGU